GCAGCGAUCUCCCCGCUCCCGUCUCAUCCAGCGCCCGGGUUAGCGCUGCCAGCAGCAGGAUGCACUGAAGGCGGCAGCAGCGGCGGCAGCCAGAGCACAUCUGAGGGAGCGCGGAGGCCAGUCCGCAUGCUGCUCCGCGGACCAGGGUACCGGCAGCCGACAUCCGGAGGGGAGUUUCUCCUCGGCAGCUCGAGCCGCGGCUGCUCCCCAUGGCUCUUCCCUCCGCCGGGCUGGGCGCUGGAUGGAGCCGGCCACCGCGAAGAGCCCUCGCCGCCCCAGUCCUCCCGUGCCGCCGCUGCAGUCGGCGCCGCGCCUCGCCUCACCUCCGCCGGCGGGGGGGGAGGCGGUGCGUGGUGCGAGGGGGGGCGGAGGAGGGGUAGGGCCGGAGCGGGGGAGACAGCCGGCACGGGGGGGGCGGUGGCGGGUGGGAGGACGUUGCCCUUCGGCGCUCUGGGGAGGGGAGCGGGCAGCGGACCGGCGGCCCCGGGCGGAGCAGGCCGGGGAAGGGGGGAAGGCGGCGGGGCGCGUUAGGACGCCCUCCUCGUCCUCUUCGCCCAACUUUCCUGCCGUCGGUGGUGAGGAGGUAACGUCCCUUCUCCGCCUGCCUCUGGCUGCGCUUCCAUCUGUCCCCCGCAUGCCCUCACGUCUCCUCGCCCUCCCUUUUGCUGUCCCGCAGGCUGUCCCUCGGCAGGGGCUGCGGCCGUUCCCCGCCCUGAGGGGUGCGGAGCGGGGCAGGGAACACCCUCCCGCGGCCACUCCGGGGAUGUGAGCGGGCACCGUCCCCCGCAGCCAGCCGCGGUGCCGGGUUAACGAGGAACAUCACUGCCCCUGUUCCCGCCGCUGGCUGGGAGCGCAAAUUCGCUCGGAACCGGGGCGAGGGAGACGAGUGCUACGCGGAGGUGGCCAGACUGCCUGGACAGCCCCCAGCUUGUGACUGUGCUUGUCUCGAUUGCCCCCAUGAAAGCUCGUGGAUUUAGGUGUGCGGUGUCGUAUACUACCUAAAUGAUUUACAUAGAAUCGCACGUAUGAAAUUCUUCCACCACUAAAUAGUAGAAACAGAUUGCUCCUUUCCCCUUCUGGAAGAGACUGGAGCGAUGUGCCUCGGACCCACCUGUGCCCACUCAGCAUCUCUUCAGCUGGUCACAAGUACUGUCUCUUCUCUGCUGCUUACUAAGUCGAUAAAAAGAAAUCAAUAAAUCACACAGCGUUAGUAGCCACCUGCAAAUCUUUCAUAUCUUCGAAGUAGAUUACUUUAAACUGUGGAUAAGAAUUGUUUCAGAUUUUUCAUUCAAUCUUGUAAAAGCCUAGGUUUUCACAUAUUUAGUGAGUGAAACUGGUAAGUCACGGUCAUUCUGAUUUUAGCCUCUCAAGAGCUAUCUUUCUAUGAACGUAACAUAAAUAAAAAUAAAACCUCACACAAGCCACCGAAUUGUACAGAUAAAAAGGUCAUGAUAAAUCCAAUGUCUUUUUUUUUUUUUUUCCUAUAUGUACAAAAUGGAGUUACACAGUCUUGGUAUACAAUGUUUCACGUACAAUAUAAAAUUAGAUAAAAAUGGUCAAAUCUAUUAUUCUGUAUUUUAUGAAUAAAUAUAUAACGUUAUAAAGAAACCCAAAAUGUAUUUGAACUUGGAAUAAAGAAAGCUGCAGGGAAUGUAUUAAGAACAUCCAUACAUGAAUGAUGAUACAGUGUUUCUCAAUGUAAAAAAACCUGAGGGCUGGGUGUCAAAUUAAGCCGGUAGAUUCCAGGUGCAAAGUAAAUAAAAGGACUUGACUCUUUGUGUAAUGCGUGGUUGAGAUGUUGGACUCCUUUGUCAAAUGGUGCUGUGGAUCAUAGAUUAAGUAGUCCCAUCAAUCAGUAUGGAUCAGGCUUCGGGGCUUGGGAACAAUACGGUGUCUGCAAUAGACCUGUGGAGGACAUUUCUGAAGUAAGAAUUUGCAUUGGAAAGUGAAUUUUGAGGAGCUAUGCUACCAUACUGAAUAAAGUUAUCCACUGUAACUUGGUGGGGAAAAUGAGCUUUUCUGAUUAUUUCCUCCCACAAGUCGUAGUUGUCUGAGUGUUUUGAAAUUUAUUCUUGUUGGCAUAUCAUUUAUAGAUUUUGUUAACUACAAGUUCUUUCUGAAAUUACACCUCUGUAAUCCCAUUAAAGCUAAAAGUACUACCUUCAGCUUGAA